rnacentral:rRNA from 1 species
GAUGAACGCUGGCGGCGUGCUUAACACAUGCAAGUCGAACGAAGCACUCUAUUUGAUUUUCUUCGGAAUUGAAGAUUUUGUGACUGAGUGGCGGACGGGUGAGUAACGCGUGGGUAACCUGCCUCAUACAGGGGGAUAACAGUUGGAAACGACUGCUAAUACCGCAUAAGCGCACGGUAUUGCAUGAUACAGUGUGAAAAACUCCGGUGGUAUGAGAUGGACCCGCGUCUGAUUAGCGAGUUGGUGGGGUAACGGCCUACCAAGGCGACGAUCAGUAGCCGACCUGAGAGGGUGACCGGCCACAGUGGGACUGAGACACGGCCCAAACUCCUACGGGAGGCAGCAGUGGGGAAUAUUGCACAAUGGGGGAAACCCUGAUGCAGCGACGCCGCGUGAACGAAGAAGUAUUUCGGUAUGUAAAGUUCUAUCAGCAGGGAAGAUAAUGACGGUACCUGACUAAGAAGCACCGGCUAAAUACGUGCCAGCCGCCGCGGUAA